rnacentral:lncRNA from 1 species
AUGACGAGUCAUGAAGAAGCAGAGACACAGGGGAGACCUGUGCACACACACACAGACACACCUGCACGCACACAAACACACACAGACACACCUGCAAGAAGCAGAGACGCAGGGGAGACCUGUGCACACACACACAGACACACCUGCAAGCACACAAACACACAUGCACAUACAUGCAAGAACACACACACACAAUCACACACACACACACAUACACACAUGCAGAUAAAUGCUCACACAUGCAAGCAAACAAACACAAUACACAAGCAAACGCAAACAGGCGCAACACACACACACAAACACAAACGAGCAAACACACACACACACACACACACAAACACGUACAAGCAAACCCACAUUGACAAGCAAAGACCCCCACAGAGCAGCGGGAGGCGUGGUGGUGGACGCGAGCCAACCUACUGUGGAGUCUUUUUUCUCUUUCCAACGCGAGAUGAAAUUAGUCUCUCUCUCCAUCUGCUGCAGCUGGUCGUCAUCGACCUGCAGGUGGACACACACACACAGGAACACACACACACAGGAACACACACACACACACACACACAGGAACACACACACAGCAACACACACACACACACAGGAACACACACACACACACACACAGGAACAUACACACACACACACACACACACACACACACACACACACACAGGAACACACACAGGAACACACACACACAGGAACACACACACGCACACACACACACACACAGGAACACACACACACACACACACAGGCAUACACACACACACAAACGCACAUACACGUACACAUGCAAACACGCACACACAAACACACAUACAUGCACACACACACACACACACAGGCUCACACACACACAGGAACACACACACACACAGGAACACGCACACACACACACACACAUACACAGGAACACAUACACACAGGAACAAACACACACACACACAGGAACACACACACACACACACACACGUACACAUACACACACACAGGCUCACACACACACAUGCAUGCAUGCACAUACACAUUACACACACACACAUAUAUACACACACACGCGCGCGCGCACACACACACAGACACGCACAACGUCGGUUAUGA